GGCGUUGUAUCGUUGAUGGCUGGGUCGACCACUGGUGUACUGAUGUCUUUGGUAUGGCGGAUACCAAACAACAACGCCGACGCCGCCUUACUACCCAAAAGCAACUUACGCAACGACCAGUUCCUGCACCAAAGUCUUCAAGUACUAGAGCUACCGGAGUUUUAUACCACAACUUACGCUGCCCCGAGCCACUACACUGACGCCCUGAAGUAUUACUCUGCCCUGAGUUACUAUACACCACCAAGGCGACGGAGUACUACAUGACUACGCAUGCUGCCCAUCCUACUACAGCGAGGCUCCCAACUGCUACACCGAGGCUCCCGCUGAAUACUCCACCAAAACGGUCGAAUACUACACCGAAGCGCCAAAGUACUAUUCUGCCCCGAUCUACACAACCACAACUGAGGCGGCCUAGUAUUCCGUAGUCCCGACUUACUACACAGAAGCUGCUCUUUCGUGGUACGUUGAACAGAAAACUACACUGAUGCUCCAGUUUACUACACCACGACCUGCGCUACACCUAGCUACAACACCGCAUCCCCCAAUUGCUACACCGAAGAAGCCGCCUAUUACCCAACCACGUACGCUGCCUAGUUUACUACAUCGAGGAAUUUAAGUAUUACCCUGCUCCAAACUACUACCAAGGUUCAUUUGUAUUACAUCAGCAAUUCUCCCGACUAUGUCACCACUACAUACGCUGCUCCGAACUAUACACCGAAGUUCUGAAUUAUUCUUCUGGAUGUGUUGAAAGAUUGCUGAAAUACAAGAUUGAU